UACGGAGGGGGCUAGCGUUGUUCGGAAUUACUGGGCGUAAAGCGCACGUAGGCGGCUUUGUAAGUUAGAGGUGAAAGCCCGGGGCUCAACUCCGGAACUGCCUUUAAGACUGCAUCGCUAGAAUUGUGGAGAGGUAAGUGGAAUUCCGAGUGUAGAGGUGAAAUUCGUAGAUAUUCGGAAGAACACCAGUGGCGAAAGCGGCUUCCUGGUCCAGCACCGACGUUCAGGCACGAAAGCGUGGGGAGCAAACAGG
rnacentral:rRNA from 1 species